UGGCUCUGACCUUCUCAUUUAUAAAAGAAUUCAAAUAAAGAAAUGGUGGCUAGGAAUGGCUUCACCCCUCCUACAUGGCUUGGCGAGGACUGGUGAUGGGUGACCCUUACCUGAGGAAUCACUGCAACAUCUUGAGGCACCUGUGCUGUUUUCCAUCUGCAGGUGCAGCAUGGAUCUGUCCUCGUGCUGCUGCAGCCGGUGUGGUUGGAAGGGCACCAGGGACCUGGCUCUGACCGCAGGCUCACAGCAGUACCUAGUGCUGGUCUGACCCCAAACACUCCUGUGGAACAUCUCCCAUAGCAUCAAUCACAAGUGCAGAAAAAUGCGCCGUGUCUCAUUGGUAUAAAUCAGUUGUGAACCUGUUGAGAUCAAUACGGUAAUACUAAUGGAGAAAUGGUGAGACAAGCUUUGAAAUUAAACUCUAUGGCCAAGAUAAAUUCACAUUGA
rnacentral:lncRNA from 1 species